UAGGUGAUAAAUUAUCAAUUCCCGGAAAAAUUUCGGGUUAUCUCUUAUGAAAACUGCAGGUGAACUGAAAAUUUUUUCAGUCGCGUUUUAACCGUCUGGACCGUUAGACGGAGUUCUCCAAGAAUUGCAGCCUUGCUGGACGUUAUCUGUUCAUCUGGGACAACUACUUGUGCAGUGAAAAGUCUAGUCGAGUUCUUAACAAAAACAUGCCUGUGCUUAGUAAACCUCGAGUGAGACUUUUACAAGACUUCCUAGUACCUCAUCUCGACAACCAAACGUUUCCCGAUAAGCUAUAUUGGAUUAACAGAGGUAAAGGAAUCUUUGGAAUUUUCUGGAGACACCAAAGCAGUUCGAAAUUCAUUGCAGAUGACUCUGCCGUUUUUAAGCAACUUUUCCUGGACUUCAUCAUCAAUCAAUCUUGGUUCUUUUCCUUCCAGCAUCUGGAAGGAA